AAAAAAACUAGGAAAGAGAGUAGUAAAUUGCAAAAACGUCAUUUUUAGGGAGGAAAUGCCUAGACUGAAAGCAUUUCUAUGAUAGUCGCAAUUGAAUUCGCUCUGGAGUUGGCACCGGAAUAUAGAAGUUUUUCUAUUAAGGUUGCAUCGGUCAUAGACCGUUAUCAAGUUUGAGUGAACAAUUAGAGGUUUUCUAAUUGUUAAUUAGGGUGGUACCGCGAAGUCAAGUCUUCGUCCCUUUU
rnacentral:ncRNA from 1 species